rnacentral:rRNA from 1 species
GACGAACGCUGGCGGCGUGCUUAACACAUGCAAGUCGAACGGAAAGGCCCUGCUUUUGUGGGGUGCUCGAGUGGCGAACGGGUGAGUAACACGUGGAUAACCUACCUAUAAGACUGGGAUAACUUCGGGAAACCGGAGCUAAUACCGGAUAAUAUAUUGAACCGCAUGGUUCAAUAGUGAAAGGCGGUUUUGCUGUCACUUAUAGAUGGAUCCGCGCCGCAUUAGCUAGUUGGUAAGGUAACGGCUUACCAAGGCAACGAUGCGUAGCCGACCUGAGAGGGUGAUCGGCCACACUGGAACUGAGACACGGUCCAGACUCCUACGGGAGGCAGCAGUAGGGAAUCUUCCGCAAUGGGCGAAAGCCUGACGGAGCAACGCCGCGUGAGUGAUGAAGGUCUUCGGAUCGUAAAACUCUGUUAUUAGGGAAGAACAAAUGUGUAAGUAACUAUGCACGUCUUGACGGUACCUAAUCAGAAAGCCACGGCUAACUACGUG